UAUAGCCUCCUCUUACUUUAUCGCUCGUUCUUCAUUUGCAUUUUUGUUUUGUUUAGCUGUGUCCUUUAUUGAGCAUCUGUAAAGACUGAGAUAAAAGUGUGCUGACACAUAACUUGAAACAAAAGGCUCCAAGGUUAAAGGAAACAUGGCAACAAUCCAGAGGCAGUGAAGACGAGCCAGAGGUUAAAUGUAAAGAGAGACAGGAAACACAUGAGUGAUUCAAUACAAGAAGAUGAAAAAGGAUGAUGUGGUUGAAAGGAAAACUGUAAUAAUUUAGGUAUUUUUAAAAUUAUUCUCUAGUUUUAGCCUUGUGGUGCUUUAUUGCUUUGGGAUUCCUCCACCGAACACCUGUUUGCACUUUAGUGUCAUAUGAUAUGUCAACCUAAUAUUUCACAUUCAGUUCCCAAAGAAGAAAAAAGAACAAUACUUUAUUCGUGAAUCCUAAGUCUGGUUCUGUUGCAUGCCUGCUGUAUUCUCAUUUUAAAUGGCUCAAAAACUGGUAAUUUGUCAAAGGUUGAAGCGCAAUGUAUGCCCUAUAGCAUAGGCAUGAUUAAUUAUGAUCAAACAACAAAGUCCUUGUAAGGUCACAAUAGCCAAGCUCAGACCAUUGUAGAAAUGAUUUUUUCCCUCUUGUAUUUUGGUUUUAAAAAUGUUUUGGUUUAAGCAUCAUUGCAAUCUGUGGAAGGUUUUAGAACUAAAAUGAGAUUUUGAAGAUCACAAAUUUCAAAUAGAUCAUACAUUUUCAGUAAGUUAAGAUGAUGUUUUGAAUAAUAACAGAAUUCAUCAUAUUCACUGACACUGACACUUGAAUGGUUUGUUCAGAUCUUUUGGGUUUUGCUAAGUUUUUAUUAACAGCCAGUGUCUUACCUGCCGUAAACAUAUUUCUGAAUGAUCUAAGUUUGGAGAAUUAGAGAAAAAGUCUCAUCAUACUAUUCCUAUUAGCACUGCUUUUACUUAGAAUAGAUCUUUACUGUCAUGACCCUGGUGUGCUACUGUGAGUUUGUAUCCAUACAUGAGAUCUUUCAUAGCCAGAGGAUCUUUGCUGGAGGACGUGGCUGCCAGCUGCAGAUUGUACACGUUUGAAAACUCCUCAUCUGGGCGUUGGAGACCUCAGAAGCGGUUAGACCUGUCUUCACCUGAUGCAUAACCUACCUGGUCUUGUUUCCCACACCAACUCCGGAUCACUUCUGCAAACUCUUCCAUAACAGAUCUCUCCAGCACAAUGCUGCUGAACCUCACUAUGGAAGCCAUGAUACCUGCACAACCUAUUAUUCAUUUGUUGUAAAUAAACCUUUGUUCUGCU